UCCGGUUUAUCACCGGCAGUUCCCCAUGAGUCCCCGGCAUUACCCGCUGGCAACAUGGAACAGGGGUUGCGCUCGUUGCGCCACUUAAGGCAACACCUCACGGCACGAGCUGACGACAGCCGUGCAGCACCUGUGCAGGCUCCCGAAGGACACGGGCUUUCACCCGCUUUACCCUGCAUGUCAAGCCCAGGUAAGGUUCUUCGCGUUGCAUCGAAUUAAGCCACAUGCUCCGCCGCUUGUGCGGGUCCCCGUCAAUUCCUUUGAGUUUUAGCCUUGCGGCCGUACUCCCCAGGCGGCGGACUUAAUGCGUUAGCUUCGGCACGGAACGCGAUGAAGCGCCCCACACCUAGUCCGCACCGUUUACGGCCAGGACUAC
rnacentral:misc_RNA from 1 species